rnacentral:rRNA from 1 species
ACACAAAAAUGCACAUAUUGUGAGCUCGAUGAGUAGGGCGGGACACGUGGUAUCCUGUCUGAAUAUGGGGGGCCCAUCCUCCAAGGCUAAAUACUCCUGACUGACCGAUAGUGAACCAGUACCGUGAGGGAAAGGCGAAAAGAACCCCGGCGAGGGGAGUGAAAAAGAACCUGAAACCGUGUACGUACAAGCAGUGGGAGCACGCUUAGGCGUGUGACUGCGUACCUUUUGUAUAAUGGGUCAGCGACUUAUAUUCUGUAGCAAGGUUAACCGAAUAGGGGAGCCGAAGGGAAACCGAGUCUUAACUGGGCGUUAAGUUGCAGGGUAUAGACCCGAAACCCGGUGAUCUAGCCAUGGGCAGGUUGAAGGUUGGGUAACACUAACUGGAGGACCGAACCGACUAAUGUUGAAAAAUUAGCGGAUGACUUGUGGCUGGGGGUGAAAGGCCAAUCAAACCGGGAGAUAGCUGGUUCUCCCCGAAAGCUAUUUAGGUAGCGCCUCGUGAAUUCAUCUCCGGGGGUAGAGCACUGUUUCGGCAAGGGGGUCAUCCCGACUUACCAACCCGAUGCAAACUGCGAAUACCGGAGAAUGUUAUCACGGGAGACACACGGCGGGUGCUAACGUCCGUCGUGAAGAGGGAAACAACCCAGACCGCCAGCUAAGGUCCCAAAGUCAUGGUUAAGUGGGAAACGAUGUGGGAAGGCCCAGACAGCCAGGAUGUUGGCUUAGAAGCAGCCAUCAUUUAAAGAAAGCGUAAUAGCUCACUGGUCGAGUCGGCCUGCGCGGAAGAUGUAACGGGGCUAAACCAUGCACCGAAGCUGCGGCAGCGACGCUUAUGCGUUGUUGGGUAGGGGAGCGUUCUGUAAGCCUGCGAAGGUGUGCUGUGAGGCAUGCUGGAGGUAUCAGAAGUGCGAAUGCUGACAUAAGUAACGAUAAAGCGGGUGAAAAGCCCGCUCGCCGGAAGACCAAGGGUUCCUGUCCAACGUUAAUCGGGGCAGGGUGAGUCGACCCCUAAGGCGAGGCCGAAAGGCGUAGUCGAUGGGAAACAGGUUAAUAUUCCUGUACUUGGUGUUACUGCGAAGGGGGGACGGAGAAGGCUAUGUUGGCCGGGCGACGGUUGUCCCGGUUUAAGCGUGUAGGCUGGUUUUCCAGGCAAAUCCGGAAAAUCAAGGCUGAGGCGUGAUGACGAGGCACUACGGUGCUGAAGCAACAAAUGCCCUGCUUCCAGGAAAAGCCUCUAAGCAUCAGGUAACAUCAAAUCGUACCCCAAACCGACACAGGUGGUCAGGUAGAGAAUACCAAGGCGCUUGAGAGAACUCGGGUGAAGGAACUAGGCAAAAUGGUGCCGUAACUUCGGGAGAAGGCACGCUGAUAUGUAGGUGAAGUCCCUUGCGGAUGGAGCUGAAAUCAGUCGAAGAUACCAGCUGGCUGCAACUGUUUAUUAAAAACACAGCACUGUGCAAACACGAAAGUGGACGUAUACGGUGUGACGCCUGCCCGGUGCCGGAAGGUUAAUUGAUGGGGUCAGCGCAAGCGAAGCUCUUGAUCGAAGCCCCGGUAAACGGCGGCCGUAACUAUAACGGUCCUAAGGUAGCGAAAUUCCUUGUCGGGUAAGUUCCGACCUGCACGAAUGGCGUAAUGAUGGCCAGGCUGUCUCCACCCGAGACUCAGUGAAAUUGAACUCGCUGUGAAGAUGCAGUGUACCCGCGGCAAGACGGAAAGACCCCGUGAACCUUUACUAUAGCUUGACACUGAACAUUGAGCCUUGAUGUGUAGGAUAGGUGGGAGGCUUUGAAGUGUGGACGCCAGUCUGCAUGGAGCCGGCCUUGAAAUACCACCCUUUAAUGUUUGAUGUUCUAACGUGGACCCGUGAUCCGGGUUGCGGACAGUGUCUGGUGGGUAGUUUGACUGGGGCGGUCUCCUCCUAAAGAGUAACGGAGGAGCACGAAGGUUGGCUAAUCCUGGUCGGACAUCAGGAGGUUAGUGCAAUGGCAUAAGCCAGCUUGACUGCGAGCGUGACGGCGCGAGCAGGUGCGAAAGCAGGUCAUAGUGAUCCGGUGGUUCUGAAUGGAAGGGCCAUCGCUCAACGGAUAAAAGGUACUCCGGGGAUAACAGGCUGAUACCGCCCAAGAGUUCAUAUCGACGGCGGUGUUUGGCACCUCGAUGUCGGCUCAUCACAUCCUGGGGCUGAAGUAGGUCCCAAGGGUAUGGCUGUUCGCCAUUUAAAGUGGUACGCGAGCUGGGUUUAGAACGUCGUGAGACAGUUCGGUCCCUAUCUGCCGUGGGCGCUGGAGAACUGAGGGGGGCUGCUCCUAGUACGAGAGGACCGGAGUGGACGCAUCACUGGUGUUCGGGUUGUCAUGCCAAUGGCACUGCCCGGUAGCUAAAUGCGGAAGAGAUAAGUGCUGAAAGCAUCUAAGCACGAAACUUGCCCCGAGAUGAGUUCUCCCUGACCCUUUAAGGGUCCUGAAGGAACGUUGAAGACGACGACGUUGAUAGGCCGGGUGUGUAAGCGCAGCGAUGCGUUGAGCUAACCGGUACUAAUGAACCGUGAGG